rnacentral:lncRNA from 1 species
UCCCAGGAUAAGACCAUACACGCUAACUCAGAAGUACCCAUUUAAUGGGUUCCAUGUACCCAUUUUUAUGACCAGUACUGAGUUGUCAGAAAAAGGGUAUUUUUUAAAUGUCAUAAAAAGGGUACUUAAUCCCCUCAAUGAAGUUUCUAGUCGAUAACUAAUGAUGGGUACAUAAUACUCAUGCUGCUUUGAAGAGCAGCAGCGCCAUUUUCCAAUUGGCUGUGCGGUGGCGUUUGUUUUUGUAAAAUAAAUAUUUUUCUUUCCUGUAACUAUUUGUAAAUGGGCAAUAAUAUUAAACACAUCUCUCAAGAAGGAAUACUGCAUACAACAUUCGAAUAUGGCUGUGACGCAGACAAUUUUGGGAGCCGAUGUUCAAUGUGUGAGGUUGGAUGUGGAUAGGAAGAAUAUCAGGAAAGCGUCCUGUAAAAUAUUGGCUGUAUGGUCCAUUGAAUGAUCUCCAAUAAAGAACGUAAAGCAUUACACGAUCCUGAUAAAUAAUGAAUAUUGAUUGUUUCAUUUACAUUAGUUUGAGAUCGUUUUAAAUAAAUUUUGUGAAAAACUCAACAAUGCAGAGCGAAAUGAAUGAAAAA